AUUGAACGCUGGCGGCAGGCCUAACACAUGCAAGUCGAGCGAGCGGCGGACGGGUGAGUAAUGUCUGGGGAACUGCCUGAUAGAGGGGGAUAACUACUGGAAACGGUAGCUAAUACCGCAUACCAUCAGAUGUGCCCAUAUGGGAUUAGCUAGUAGGUGGGGUAACGGCUCACCUAGGCGACGAUCCCUAGCUGGUCUGAGAGGAUGACCAGCCACACUGGAACUGAGACACGGCCCAGACUCCUACGGGAGGCAGCAGUGGGGAAUAUUGCACAAUGGGCGCAAGCCUGAUGCAGCCAUGCCGCGUGUAUGAAGAAGGCCUUAGGGUUGUAAAGUACUUUCAGCCGGGAGGCGUUACCGGCAGAAGAAGCACCGGCUAACUCCGUGCCAGCAGCCGCGGUAAUAC
rnacentral:rRNA from 1 species